GAAGAGAUGACUGAGUGGUUUAAAGUGGUAAAUUGUAAAUUUAUUGGGGAAAUCCCAUCAUAGGUUCAAAUCCUAUUCUCUU
rnacentral:tRNA from 1 species